rnacentral:rRNA from 1 species
CCUACGGGAGGCAGCAGUGGGGAAUAUUGGACAAUGGGCGAAAGCCUGAUCCAGCCAUGCCGCGUGUGUGAAGAAGGUCUUCGGAUUGUAAAGCACUUUAAGUUGGGAGGAAGGGCAGUUACCUAAUACGUGACUGUCUUGACGUUACCGACAGAAUAAGCACCGGCUAACUCUGUGCCAGCAGCCGCGGUAAUACAGAGGGUGCAAGCGU